rnacentral:lncRNA from 1 species
GGAGACAAAAGAAAGGAAAGAAAAAAGGGAAGGACGGACACAAGGGUAAAUUUGGGGGUGGGGCCAGGGGAGGCCAUGGGGAGGGUCUGACACGAGAGGGGGAAAAGCAAUUCUCUUUUUUUAUGCACACAAAGAUCUGAUUGGAUAGUUGGUUUUUAAUUUUAGGUUACAAUUGCAAAGGAAAAGAAAACGUUUAUAGAUUUAACCAUUUACAUUUAACUUUUUUCUCCACAAAUUCCUCUCUAAAUCUAUAAUUAAAAUACAACUAUUUUUUUUUUAUGCGAAUAGGUUAUAGGAAUAUGACCAUCUUAUGAAGUGUUCGGACUAAACUGCAAACCAUUUACGUUUCCAUCCAAAUUAACAGAAUGCGCAAUAAAACACAAUUUGAGAGUCGAAGAGAAAAAGGUCUGAAUCAAAGUCAAACACCAAAACCAUAAAAUCCCCCAAUAAUUACCCUUUCGUUAUCUUCCUCUUCCUCCAACCAACUAAAAUGACCUCAAUCUUAUAACUCAUCCCCCCACCACCUACGUCAGAAUGUACAACAACCAAUCGCCAACAUAGCCACUUCCAAACUUCAACUUCAUCACUGGCGUAUCAUAAUACACUACAACAAAAGGUCCAUUACCAACAAAAUGAUUUUCUCUCCUCUCCAAACGACCUUAUUCAGUGUUAACAACUUGCCCGACAAACAAUAUGUCGUCACCUGAUCGUAAGCGACAAACUUAUGUCGUUGAAAGUGUCCUCUGACAAAAAUUUUAUUUCGCCGUUUAAUAAAACUUUCUAGCAAUAAAGAUCAUGUCCUUGUCGAAUAUAAUAGUUUAGCGGUAAAAUAUUUCAUAACCCACAUAAUAUAAUUUCCUCGCCUUAGGUCACGUUUCGUCACUAAAUAAUUUAAAAUUUUAUUAAUUAUUUUUUUUGUAAAAUAAUAGGUGACAAAAAUUUCGUCACUAAAGGCAGUUUGCAGAAGCAAAAGACGACGAAAUAUUUCCUCGCUAAAGAUCUUCUCACGCCAUAAAUGCCUAGAAUUCGCCAUGGGCCUUACUCUCGUGAUCUGAUUAGUUCAGCUUUUAAGCUCCUAUGCAUAGAUAGACUUGGGGAAAAGAUCAAAUUGAUUUCGUAACCAUAGCCACGUAUUUUUGUGAAAUACUAUUUAGAAAAAUGAAUGAUAAGUGUAAGUUUGAAUGUUGACCGUCCUAUUUUUUUAGACAAUUCUAAUGAAAUUAUAUGGCUAUAAUUAUUAAGUCAACUUAAUUUUUGCUUUUUUGUAUGGAUGAUCUAUGUUCAUAGAUUUAAAAAAUGAACUCAUUAUAUUAUUGAAGAUGGACUCUGGUGAGUCCCAUGAAACCGAAACAUGUGGUAUGAUGCAAUCCACAUACAAGUCAUUUAUUUUCCGUUUAUAUUUAUAUUAAUUUUUAAAUUUUUGGGUGUAUUUUUUAAUUUAGGGAUGGGCAUUCUAGGAGUCGAGCUCGCACUACAUACUUAGAGGCUUUUGGUCUGCCCAAGUCAGGACUAGCUGGAUAUGGCCAAAUAUAGAAUUGCCAACUCUAGUCCUAAAAACUUUUAUAUUCCCAAGCCCACCCAUUAAAUUCACUUGUUCAAACUCUUAAAUGUUAAAUAUAUUUAACCAUUUAUAUUAUAUUAAUUCUAAUUUUCUUUUUAAACUUAAGUAUAUCUUCGUAUUUUGUACUACUUUUAGGAAAACCUAAAGAACCAAAUGCUUCAUUGAAAUUUUGCUAUUAUCUCUGUACAAACCACAUAAUUCCCCUUUCACUUAAUAAAAGUAUGGUUUUAAUUAAAAUAAAAUUAUUUUUUAUAUUUAAAAUAAAUUCCCCUUUCAUAACACGAUUUUACAAUUAGUAUAUUUUUUAUAUGAAAUGAUAUGAUAAAUUUGUACCUAAUUAUUUUAAAUUAAAAAAUCCUUUAAAGAGAGUAUUAUUUUAAUUUCUGAUAUGAGGCAAUCAUAGAAAAUAUGAAGAAAAAAAAAAAGUGUGUUAAACAAACACCCAUAUCAUUGUAAAACAAACAAGUACAUAUGAGAUCGCCAAGAUAGUAUCCGACUUAGUCCGAUUGGAUUUGUUUAUCCAACUGAAAUCCGACUGGAUUUCUAAUCCGUCAAAUUCAAUCUCCAAAACAAACAUGUCCCUCGUUGAAUUCGCACUACAUACUUAGAGGCUUUUGGUCUGCCCAAGUCAGGACUAGCUGGAUAUGGCCAAAUAUAGAAUUGCCAACUCUAGUCCUAAAAACUUUUAUAUUCCAAGCACACCCAUUAAAUUCACUUAUUCAAACUUUUAAAUGUUAAAUAUAUUUAACCAUUUACAUUAUAUUAAUUCUAAUUUUCUCUUUAAACUUGAGUAUAUCUUCGUAUUUUGUACUACUUUUAGGAAAACCUAAAGAACCAAAUGCUUCAUUGAAAUUUUGCUAUUAUCUUGUUACAAAACACAUAAUUCCCCUUACUUAAAUAAAACGUGUAUGGUUUUUAAUUAAAUAAAAAUUAUUUUUU